GUAUAUACGCACCUAACGCACCUACGCGCCUACACAAGGAGUUCAAAAAAUUUAACUUUUUACGCUCCUACGCAUGACGAUUAGCCGCGUUGCCCAAUCAGCGUUGAGCUUGACCCGACGUCACUGGCAGAGAGACGGAGAGGACAGAACAGAAAUGGAGGACCAAAACCUGAUAGUAGCAGUGUGCAGCCGUCCUGUCCUGUACGACACAACGAUGGUGUCGUACAGGGACAGGAACAAAAAAGAGAGGGCGUGGGUCGACGUGGCCGAGGAUACUGGCUUUCCUGGGACGAAGAGGAAGAGAGCCAGGGUACCAGAGGGGAACACAAAUAUGCAGGGAGCCAUCCUCCAGGCCCUGCAGAGGCAAAAUGCUGUGCCUACCCCUACCCCGCUCUCUGGGAAUGAGCACUUUGUCAUGGGCCUAGUUCCUUCCCUGGAGAGAUUGCCACCUGAAGCACUGGAGUACGUUAAAUUCAAAAUUCGUAAGGUCAUAUUUGACAAUUUCACCCUUAAUUUGGAACCUUUUUAAGCCUAUUAGCUAGUGGUGGUGACAAUCUCUCCAGGGAAAGAACUAGGCUGAUGUCACUGUGCUACUGUUAACUGUUAAUUUGUUAUUGUUCUGUUAUGUUUAUAUCAUAUUGUUCUUAUGUUAUUUUUAUUAUUUUUAUUUUUAUUUUUUAAAUAAAAUAUUUCUCACAACUCUUCUC
ensembl:lncRNA